GUGGGGAAUAUUGGGCAAUGGGGGCAACCCUGACCCAGCGACGCCGCGUGGGUGAAGAAAUCCCUCGGGAUGUAAAGCCCUGUUGUAUGGGAAGAGCAGAAGACGGUACCAUACGAGGAAGCCCCGGCAAACUACGUGCCAGCAGCCGCGGUAAUACGUAGGGGGCAAGCGUUGUCCGGAAUUACUGGGCGUAAAGCGCACGCAGGCUGAAUUAUAAGUCGGUAGUCAAAUACGGAGGCUCAACUUCCGGAUAUCUAUCGAUACUGUAAAUCUAGAGUAUGUGAGAGGGAAGCGGAAUUCACGGUGUAGCGGUGAAAUGCGUAGAUAUCGGGAGGAACACCAGUGGCGAAGGCGGCUUCCUGGCACAAUACUGACGCUCAUGUGCGAAAGCUAGGGCAGCGAACGGGAUUAGAAACCCGAGUAGUCC
rnacentral:rRNA from 1 species